AGUUUUUUAACUUGGUGAAGGAGGCUUAAGUGACUAGUCUUAUAUAGAUCUGUGAAACUUUUGUUCCCUUUUUCUUAGCUGCAACUAAGUGAAGCGUUUUACUUUUAACAAAUGAAAGUAUGUGCUGUGGAUCGGAGCGGUUGAAGCCCACACCGUCUCCAACACUUCCUGUGAUUUCUUUUGAAGACAGUAGACCAACCAACGUAGACAUGAAUCAUUUAACCGUUGAGACUGAAGAUACUUUUGCAAGCUUGCUUGAGCUUGCAGCUAAUAAUGACACUGAGGGCUUUAAGAGAUCAAUUGAAUGUGAUCCUUUGUGUGUUGAUGAGACUGGACUUUGGUAUAGUCGUCAGAAAGGCCCCAAGCAGAUGGUUAACCAAUAUAGAACCCCAUUGAUGGUCGCUGCAACUUAUGGUAGCCUUGACAUUAUAAGGCUGAUUCUGUCUCUAUCAGAUGCUGAUGUCAAUCGGACUUGUGGUUUAGAUAAGAGCACUGCCCUUCAUUGUGCU
rnacentral:misc_RNA from 1 species